UGGGGAAUAUUGCACAAUGGGCGCAAGCCUGAUGCAGCCAUGCCGCGUGUGUGAAGAAGGCCUUCGGGUUGUAAAGCACUUUCAGCGAGGAGGAAGGUGGUGAGCUUAAUACGCUCAUCAAUUGACGUUACUCGCAGAAGAAGCACCGGCUAACUCCGUGCCAGCAGCCGCGGUAAUACGGAGGGUGCAAGCGUUAAUCGGAAUUACUGGGCGUAAAGCGCACGCAGGCGGUUUGUUAAGUCAGAUGUGAAAUCCCCGGGCUCAACCUGGGAACUGCAUUUGAAACUGGCAAGCUAGAGUCUCGUAGAGGGGGGUAGAAUUCCAGGUGUAGCGGUGAAAUGCGUAGAGAUCUGGAGGAAUACCGGUGGCGAAGGCGGCCCCCUGGACGAAGACUGACGCUCAGGUGCGAAAAGCGUGGGGAGCAAAACAGGAUUAGAUACCCUGGUAGUCCACGCUGUAAAACGAUGUCGAUUUUGGAGGUUGUGCCCCUUGAGGCGUGGCUUCCGGAGCUAACGCGUUAAAUCGACCGCCUGGGGGAGUACGGCCGCAAGGUUAAAACU
rnacentral:rRNA from 1 species